GGACUACUGGGGUAUCUAAUCCUGUUCGCUCCCCACGCUUUCGCGUCUCAGCGUCAGUACCGUCCCAGAGAGCCGCCUUCGCCACGGGUGUUCUUCCCGAUAUCUGCGCAUUUCACCGCUACACCGGGAAUUCCACUCUCCUCUUCCGGACUCUAGCCAUACGGUUUCAACCGACGUCUCGAGGUUGAGCCUCGAGUUUUCACAGCUGACCUGUAUGGCCGCCUACACGCUCUUUACGCCCAAUAAAUCCGGACAACGCUUGCCCCCUACGUAUUACCGCGGCUGCUGGCAC
rnacentral:rRNA from 1 species